UAUGUAGAGGGGAGGAGCAACUCUGAGGGAAGGAAACACUGAGAGUGAAAUUAUACAAUCAUUCAGUUCAGACUCCAUUUUACUGUCGACAGAGCAAAAGGAGGAAAACAGGACGUAUAAGGCAGGGUUUUUGCAGGACAAACAGCUCCUCUCAGCGUCCAACGUUAUCAGCUGACCAUUCAUGAACUCCUGUAGAGCAGGAGGCCAUAAUGGAGAAACUUAAAGAGGACCUCUGGAAAACUCUGCAGGAAUUAAAAGAAGAUGAGUUUAAGAAUUUCAAGUGGCU